UCCUAUAAUCCCGGGAGGACCACCAGUGGCGAAGGCUGUUGGCUAGAACACGCCCGACGGUGAGGGAUGAAAGCUGGGGGAGCGAACCGGAUUAGAUACCCGGGUAGUCCCAGCUGUAAACAAUGCAGGCUAGGUGUUAGAGCGGCCACGUGCCGCCCUAGUGCCGCAGGGAAGCUGUUAAGCCUGCCGCCUGGGGAGUACGGCCGCAAGGCUGAAACUUAAAGGAAUUGGCGGGGGAGCACCACAAGGGGUGAAGCUUGCGGUUUAAUUGGAGUCAACGCCGGAAAUCUCACCGGGGGCGACAGCAGAGUGAAGGCCAGAUUAAAGGUCUUGCCAGACGAGCUGAGAGGAGGUGCAUGGCCGUCGCCAGUUCGUGCCGUGAGGUGUCCUGUUAAGUCAGGCAACGAUCGAGACCCGCAUCACACAGUUGCUACAAGCCUUGAGCUUGGCACAUCGUCGAGGCCGCCGCCGAUAAGGCGGAGGAAGGAGCGGGCCACGGCAGGUCAGUAUGCCCCGAAUCUCCCGGGCCACACGCGAGCUGCAAUGGCAGGUACAAUGGGCUCCGACCUCGAAAGGGGAAGGCAAUCUCU
rnacentral:rRNA from 1 species